UAAUUGCAAACACUACAACCGGAGUGGAGAUGAAGCUCUAAAACUAGCAAACAAAAACAAGUUCUUGAAGUUGAAUUUCAUUCCAACGAUGACGUGGUGGAAUUAUGGACCGUUCUGAAGGUUGUUCAGGAAUAGGACCCAGGAACACGCUACGGUGGAGAAAGACGGACGGAUGAGACAAUGCAACGCGGAAGGAGACAAGCAGUAAUCCACACCUAGUACCAGAGACCAACCAAUUGACAAGUCACAAGCGGAAGAUAAGCAGCCAGUCAAAAAGGCAAUUAAAUUCCAAGUGAAACCAGAGUGCGUGUGAAUCUAAGGCCAUCUACACACUAGGCAACCUAAGUUGGAAAGCAACUUAACGAAUCUGUCAAAAAAGUUGAGAACAUGUGUAAUCAAAUGGGAGCAUACACACUAGGCAACUGGCAACUUUGGUCGGACCAACUUUUUCGAUUCAACUCAGCAUGUCGAGUCGCGCGCGAUUUGUGUCGGCAACCUUUUCGUUCAAUUGCUGUUGACGUUUUGAUUUUUGCGUUCAUUGAAUUUCAAUAUCUGUCAGUGGUGAUGCAAAACAGUGUUUACAAUAUUGGCGCAUCUGUUUCUAUGAACGAACGAGAUGAAAUGCCAUCAAUAUGCAAGUUCUCUUGAUAUACCGUCCGGGAAGAGUGCUGAAUUGGUCAAGGAUGCGUAUAAUAUUGGAGAUUGAGCAAGAAGCACAGAAUCCGCUGGAUGUGUUUUUUCCAAGUUAACAGCAAUUGUUGCUGUCUGUUGUUAGCAGCGAGCCGAAAUAAGUAUGUUAGAUAGCCUAAGAUUGGAUAAUUCUGGUCAGAUUUCCCGGGAAACCGUUAUCAUCCCUGAUUCUCGAUUGUACCAUGUGCGAAGGUGCGGUCUGCGAAUAUGUGACCCCUGGGAGAAUUUUUCAUAUUUAGCGUUAGUGUAUACAUAAAUCAUUCUUUAGAAGAAUUGUUGAAAAUUUUUCUGUUUUCUUUAUAUAAUUCUUUUCGGCUGUAUUCUUAUU